AGUCUUCAUUUUGUGGGAGAAAAUGGUCCUACUGUAGAUAACCCAGACCCUAUUUCAGCAAUACAAAGUAUUGAGAAUAGAAGAAAACUAACGGGAAAACGAAAAAACCAAUGACGAGGGUAUAUAAUCCGCCACCAAAACGAGCGUCAAUCUCCAAAAAAGAUGCAGCAGAGGCUCUUCUUUACUUGAGCGAAAGGGAACACGCUAAAAGAGACGCAGCUGACGGCCUUCUAUCCUUAUGUGAAAAUAGUACAACAUCCCGUGAUAUGCAAGAGGACCAAGACGAACUUCUUGUUUUAAAGAAAAAAGAUGCUGCUGUUCAAACCAACCUAACUUAUGAACAUCUUAAAACAUAUGCGACUGAGUCAUUGGUUAAUGAAAAACGUCAUUACGCAUAAGGUCUAUUAUAUGUAUUUGGCUACAACAAAUGGUACUAAUUUGCCAUUCAUUGAUUUAAUAAUAGAAUACUAUUACUAUCAUUUUCAAA